CUCUUAUUCAGAGUUGGUGGAGGGACAGACCCGAUGAAACCCAGCAACCAUCACUUUUAGUGAAAAGGUGCUAACCUGAUGCAAGGAUUACUCCUUGAACAAUAAGAG
rnacentral:ncRNA from 2 species